rnacentral:rRNA from 1 species
CCUACGGGCGGCAGCAGUGGGGGAUAUUGGACAAUGGGGGGAACCCUGAUCCAGCGACGCCGCGUGAGUGAAGAAGUAUUUCGGUAUGUAAAGCUCUGUCAGCAGGGAAGAAAGAAAUGACGGUACCUGACCAAGAAGCCCCGGCUAACUACGUGCCAGCAGCCGCGGUAAUACGUAGGGGGCAAGCGUUAUCCGGAAUUACUGGGUGUAAAGGGAGCGUAGACGGUUAAGUAAGUCUGGAGUGAAAGGCCGGGGCUCAACCCCGGGACUGCUCUGGAAACUAUUUAACUUGAGUGUAGGAGAGGUAAGCGGAAUUCCUAGGGUAGCGGUGAAAUGCGUAGAUAUUAGGAGGAACACCAGUGGCGAAGGCGGCUUACUGGACUGUAACUGACGUUGAGGCUCGAAAGCGUGGGGAGCAAACAGGAUUAGAUACCCGGGUAGUC